CUACGUGCCAGCAGCCGCGGUAAUACGUAGGGUGCGAGCGUUAAUCGGAAUUACUGGGCGUAAAGCGGGCGCAGACGGUUACUUAAGCAGGAUGUGAAAUCCCCGGGCUCAACCUGGGAACUGCGUUCUGAACUGGGUGACUAGAGUGUGUCAGAGGGAGGUAGAAUUCCACGUGUAGCAGUGAAAUGCGUAGAGAUGUGGAGGAAUACCGAUGGCGAAGGCAGCCUCCUGGGAUAACACUGACGUUCAUGCCCGAAAGCGUGGGUAGCAAACAGGAUUAGAUACCCUGGUAGUCCACGCCCUAAACGAUGUCGAUUAGCUGUUGGGCAGCAUGACUGCUUAGUAGCGAAGCUAACGCGUGAAAUCGACCGCCUGGGGAGUACGGCCGCAAGGUUAAAACUCAAAUGAAUUGACGGGGGCCCGCACAAGCGGUGGAGCAUGUGGUUUAAUUCGAUGCAACGCGAAGAACCUUACCUGGUCUUGACAUCC
rnacentral:rRNA from 1 species